rnacentral:misc_RNA from 1 species
AAGUCGUAACAAGGUCUCCGUUGGUGAACCAGCGGAGGGAUCAUUACCGAGUUUUCAACUCAUCAACCCCUGUGAACUUUUUACCCAACGUUGCUUCGGCGGGAACAGAUGGCCCUGUGAAACGGGCCACCCCCGCCAGAGGACCCCCUAACUCUGUUUCUUAUAUGUUCUUCUGAGUAAAACAAGCAAAUAUCAAAACUUUCAACAACGGAUCUCUUGGCUCUG